rnacentral:lncRNA from 1 species
CCAUGAUCAGCAGGUGAUUGCCCCAGGGCAUGGGGGUGAGGAGAUUCAAAAAUUUUCAAAGUUAGAAGUAGGUCGAAUAUCGAGUCGAGAUAAAGAUUGUUAGAAUUUUAUACCUCAAGAUUCGAUCCACACUGAGCCCACAGUAAGAUCCGCGAUGACAAACGAAAUCCAAUGAGCGUAAGAUCAGUCUAAACAGAGUUCAAAUGAAAAAGUUACGGUCGAAGAAAGUCUGCACGGAGAUUGGAGUGGUGGAGGCCGGUGGAUGGC